rnacentral:rRNA from 1 species
AUUGAACGCUGGCGGCAGGCUUAACACAUGCAAGUCGAGCGGGGAAAGGUAGCUUGCUACCUGACCUAGCGGCGGACGGGUGAGUAAUGCUUAGGAAUCUGCCUAUUAGUGGGGGACAACAUCUCGAAAGGGAUGCUAAUACCGCAUACGUCCUACGGGAGAAAGCAGGGGACCUUCGGGCCUUGCGCUAAUAGAUGAGCCUAAGUCGGAUUAGCUAGUUGGUGGGGUAAAGGCCUACCAAGGCGACGAUCUGUAGCGGGUCUGAGAGGAUGAUCCGCCACACUGGGACUAAGACACGGCCCAGACUCCUACGGGAGGCAGCAGUGGGGAAUAUUGGACAAUGGGGGGAACCCUGAUCCAGCCAUGCCGCGUGUGUGAAGAAGGCCUUUUGGUUGUAAAGCACGUUAAGCGAGGAGGAGGCUACCGAGAUUAAUACUCUUGGAUAGUGGACGUUACUCGCAGAAUAAGCACCGGCUAACUCUGUG